UCCAGGCACGCCUGAUUGUUCCAUAUGGGCACUUCCACUUCGCGGAGAGACGGACUAGAACUGCCUAGAAAUGCAGUCGUGCCCCAGCCUUCAAUGGACGCACACAAGAGAACCUGCGACGAAAGCUGUUCGAUCUUCCAGUGACGGCAGGGACGGAGGGGGCAGGCAGAUGCGCUGGAUGACGGGGGAGAAUUCAACCGGUCGAUUCAAUCGAACGAUAGCGAUGUCGUGCAGACGAGAAGACUCUGACCUUAGUGUUGGCAUGGCAACGUGACCUCGAAUGACCCACUUUUUUUCAUGGACAAGGGCAACGGAAUCUCAGAAAAAAUCUUUUCAUAUUUAUAAAGAAAACUUCGUUAUUGGAUCCUUUCCAUUCUUCUGUAGAAAGAAAAUCGAUCAUAAUUUUUUAACGGUGAAUCCGACCCUGAAGCUUUAAUCGUCAUCCAUCUUCUUUAUUGAUCAUUGGAAACAAUGCUCUGUGUUCCUGUAUGGCGGCAAAUUUAUAAAGAAUAAGAAAGAACAUUAAUCUUCUCUUACGGCAAAAAUAAGAAACUAAUUUUGUUUGUGUGAAUCUUAACUCGUAAAUUGUGUAUAAAUCGUCAACUAAACUUUUUAAUCAGUAGAUAAUCAAGAACUAGGAAGUAGGAACUCAAGUAUACAUUUGAAUUUUAGCGGGUCGAGAUCUGACAUCCAGUUUAUAGGCAACGCCGCAGCCAAGCGCUUUAAUUAAAAAUUUAAUUUAAAAAAUUUUAAUCACUUUUAAAAUCAGGAAUCAACGAAUUGUUUAAUCAAUUUUUUAAAAGAAAUCAAUUUUUUGUGCGUCCAAUGUUGCCUAAAAAUGCCAGUUGGCGCUUCCCCCAAAUUUCUCACAUUGGCAUUGUUAUUGUGAGGAAGAGCAGACAGGUUUUCAUUCGAGAUUCGAGAAUUUACUUUUUGCUAUUCACUUUCCUCAAAAUUUCUUCAAUUUGAAAUCCUGACUUUUUUUAAGACUGAAUCAUGAUCAACUUUAUCGUCAAAGCAUCUGAUUCUAAAAAUGCCAAAACAUAUCAGAGCUGUCAAAAUUCCAUUGUGGCUUAAUUGCUUUGAUAACUGAAAACAAGAACAAAAGCCAGAGAGUCUCCUAAUUCAGAUUUAAGUCUUCAAAACUGGUUGUAUUAGCACAAGUGCCUCCACUUGUAGCUUUCAGGAGGUUUGGAUUAUCACGAAUAAGCCAUGCAAGCCCACAGUCACAGGAGAAUGGAUCUGGUGGUGGUUCAAAGAAGACUGAUCCAGUGGAAUUUGCAAUGCCAGCCAUCUGUGUCAAAACUGGCUGGAAAACUGCAUAAUCAAAUGAUACCAGGUUGUUGUUGCUCAAAUCAAUUUCUGCAUAACUGUAAUCGCCUGUAGAAUUUGAUAAACUCAUGAAAUACCUUU